rnacentral:rRNA from 1 species
GACGAACGCUGGCGGCGUGCUUAACACAUGCAAGUCGAACGGAAAGGCCCUGCUUUUGUGGGGUGCUCGAGUGGCGAACGGGUGAGUAACACGUGAGUAACCUGCCCUUGACUUUGGGAUAACUUCAGGAGACUGGGGCUAAUACCGGAUAGGAGCUCCUGCUGCAUGGUGGGGGUUGGAAAGUUUCGGCGGUUGGGGAUGGACUCGCGGCUUAUCAGCUUGUUGGUGGGGUAGUGGCUUACCAAGGCUUUGACGGGUAGCCGGCCUGAGAGGGUGACCGGCCACAUUGGGACUGCGAUACGGCCCAGACUCCUACGGGAGGCAGCAGUGGGGAAUAUUGCACAAUGGGCGGAAGCCUGAUGCAGCAACGCCGCGUGCGGGAUGACGGCCUUCGGGUUGUAAACCGCUUUCGCCUGUGACGAAGCGUGAGUGACGGUAAUGGGUAAAGAAGCACCGGCUAACUACGUG